rnacentral:rRNA from 1 species
UACGGAGGGUGCAAGCGUUAUCCGGAUUCACUGGGUUUAAAGGGUGCGUAGGUGGGAAUGUAAGUCAGUGGUGAAAUCUCCGUGCUUAACAUGGAAACUGCCAUUGAUACUAUGUUUCUUGAAUUUUCUGGAGGUAAGCGGAAUAUGUCAUGUAGCGGUGAAAUGCUUAGAUAUGACAUAGAACACCAAUUGCGAAGGCAGCUUGCUACAGGGAUAUUGACACUGAGGCACGAAAGCGUGGGAUCAAACAGG